AUUGAACGCUAGCGGGAUGCCUUACACAUGCAAGUCGAACGGCAGCAUAAGAGAGCUUGCUCUCUUGAUGGCGAGUGGCGAACGGGUGAGUAAUGUAUCGGAACGUGCCCAGUAGCGGGGGAUAACUACGCGAAAGCGUAGCUAAUACCGCAUACGCCCUACGGGGGAAAGGAGGGGAUCUGCAAGGACCUUUCACUAUUGGAGCGGCCGAUAUCGGAUUAGCUAGUUGGUGAGGUAACGGCUCACCAAGGCGACGAUCAGUAGCCGGUCUGAGAGGAUGAACGGCCACAUUGGGACUGAGAUACGGCCCAG
rnacentral:rRNA from 1 species